CAAUUUAAACAACGAAGAGUUUGAUCCUGGCUCAGGAUGAACGCUAGCGACAGGCUUAACACAUGCAAGUCGAGGGGCAGCGGGGGUAGCAAUACCCGCCGGCGACCGGCGCACGGGUGAGUAACGCGUAUGCAACUUACCUAUCAGAGGGGGAUAACCCGGCGAAAGUCGGACUAAUACCGCAUGAAGCAGGGGCCCCGCAUGGGGAUAUUUGCUAAAGAUUCAUCGCUGAUAGAUAGGCAUGCGUUCCAUUAGGCAGUUGGCGGGGUAACGGCCCACCAAACCGACGAUGGAUAGGGGUUCUGAGAGGAAGGUCCCCCACAUUGGUACUGAGACACGGACCAAACUCCUACGGGAGGCAGCAGUGAGGAAUAUUGGUCAAUGGCCGAGAGGCUGAACCAGCCAAGUCGCGUGAGGGAUGAAGGUUCUAUGGAUCGUAAACCUCUUUUAUAAGGGAAUAAAGUGCGGGACGUGUCCCGUUUUGUAUGUACCUUAUGAAUAAGGAUCGGCUAACUCCGUGCCAGCAGCCGCGGUAAUACGGAGGAUCCGAGCGUUAUCCGGAUUUAUUGGGUUUAAAGGGUGCGUAGGCGGCCUUUUAAGUCAGCGGUGAAAGUCUGUGGCUCAACCAUAGAAUUGCCGUUGAAACUGGGGGGCUUGAGUAUGUUUGAGGCAGGCGGAAUGCGUGGUGUAGCGGUGAAAUGCAUAGAUAUCACGCAGAACCCCGAUUGCGAAGGCAGCCUGCCAAGCCAUUACUGACGCUGAUGCACGAAAGCGUGGGGAUCAAACAGGAUUAGAUACCCUGGUAGUCCACGCAGUAAACGAUGAUCACUAGCUGUUUGCGAUACACUGUAAGCGGCACAGCGAAAGCGUUAAGUGAUCCACCUGGGGAGUACGCCGGCAACGGUGAAACUCAAAGGAAUUGACGGGGGCCCGCACAAGCGGAGGAACAUGUGGUUUAAUUCGAUGAUACGCGAGGAACCUUACCCGGGUUUGAACGCAUUCGGACCGAGGUGGAAACACCUUUUCUAGCAAUAGCCGUUUGCGAGGUGCUGCAUGGUUGUCGUCAGCUCGUGCCGUGAGGUGUCGGCUUAAGUGCCAUAACGAGCGCAACCCUUGCCACUAGUUACUAACAGGUAAAGCUGAGGACUCUGGUGGGACUGCCAGCGUAAGCUGCGAGGAAGGCGGGGAUGACGUCAAAUCAGCACGGCCCUUACAUCCGGGGCGACACACGUGUUACAAUGGCGUGGACAAAGGGAGGCCACCUGGCGACAGGGAGCGAAUCCCCAAACCACGUCUCAGUUCGGAUCGGAGUCUGCAACCCGACUCCGUGAAGCUGGAUUCGCUAGUAAUCGCGCAUCAGCCAUGGCGCGGUGAAUACGUUCCCGGGCCUUGUACACACCGCCCGUCAAGCCAUGGGAGCCGGGGGUACCUGAAGUCCGUAACCGCGAGGAUCGGCCUAGGGUAAAACUGGUGACUGGGGCUAAGUCGUAACAAGGUAGCCGUACCGGAAGGUGCGGCUGGAACACCUCCUUUCU
rnacentral:rRNA from 1 species